rnacentral:rRNA from 1 species
GACGAACGCUGGCGGCGUGCCUAAUACAUGCAAGUCGAGCGAGCUUGCCUAGAUGAUUUUAGUGCUUGCACUAAAUGAAACUAGAUACAAGCGAGCGGCGGACGGGUGAGUAACACGUGGGUAACCUGCCCAAGAGACUGGGAUAACACCUGGAAACAGAUGCUAAUACCGGAUAAGCCACAGCUCGGCAUCGAGCAGAGGGAAAAGGAGUGAUCCGCUUUGAGAUGGCCUCGCGUCCGAUUAGCUGGUUGGUGAGGUAACGGCCCACCAAGGCGACGAUCGGUAGCCGGACUGAGAGGUUGAACGGCCACAUUGGGACUGAGACACGGCCCAG